rnacentral:rRNA from 1 species
ACAUAAGUAACGAUAAAGCGGGUGAAAAGCCCGCUCGCCGGAAGACCAAGGGUUCCUGUCCAACGUUAAUCGGGGCAGGGUGAGUCGACCCCUAAGGCGAGGCCGAAAGGCGUAGUCGAUGGGAAACAGGUUAAUAUUCCUGUACUUGGUGUUACUGCGAAGGGGGGACGGAGAAGGCUAUGUUGGCCGGGCGACGGUUGUCCCGGUUUAAGCGUGUAGGCUGGUUUUCCAGGCAAAUCCGGAAAAUCAAGGCUGAGGCGUGAUGACGAGGCACUACGGUGCUGAAGCAACAAAUGCCCUGCUUCCAGGAAAAGCCUCUAAGCAUCAGGUAACAUCAAAUCGUACCCCAAACCGACACAGGUGGUCAGGUAGAGAAUACCAAGGCGCUUGAGAGAACUCGGGUGAAGGAACUAGGCAAAAUGGUGCCGUAACUUCGGGAGAAGGCACGCUGAUAUGUAGGUGAAGCGACUUGCUCGUGGAGCUGAAAUCAGUCGAAGAUACCAGCUGGCUGCAACUGUUUAUUAAAAACACAGCACUGUGCAAACACGAAAGUGGACGUAUACGGUGUGACGCCUGCCCGGUGCCGGAAGGUUAAUUGAUGGGGUUAGCGGUAACGCGAAGCUCUUGAUCGAAGCCCCGGUAAACGGCGGCCGUAACUAUAACGGUCCUAAGGUAGCGAAAUUCCUUGUCGGGUAAGUUCCGACCUGCACGAAUGGCGUAAUGAUGGCCAGGCUGUCUCCACCCGAGACUCAGUGAAAUUGAACUCGCUGUGAAGAUGCAGUGUACCCGCGGCAAGACGGAAAGACCCCGUGAACCUUUACUAUAGCUUGACACUGAACAUUGAGCCUUGAUGUGUAGGAUAGGUGGGAGGCUUUGAAGUGUGGACGCCAGUCUGCAUGGAGCCGACCUUGAAAUACCACCCUUUAAUGUUUGAUGUUCUAACGUUGGCCCCUGAUCGGGGUUGCGGACAGUGUCUGGUGGGUAGUUUGACUGGGGCGGUCUCCUCCUAAAGAGUAACGGAGGAGCACGAAGGUUGGCUAAUCCUGGUCGGACAUCAGGAGGUUAGUGCAAUGGCAUAAGCCAGCUUGACUGCGAGCGUGACGGCGCGAGCAGGUGCGAAAGCAGGUCAUAGUGAUCCGGUGGUUCUGAAUGGAAGGGCCAUCGCUCAACGGAUAAAAGGUACUCCGGGGAUAACAGGCUGAUACCGCCCAAGAGUUCAUAUCGACGGCGGUGUUUGGCACCUCGAUGUCGGCUCAUCACAUCCUGGGGCUGAAGUAGGUCCCAAGGGUAUGGCUGUUCGCCAUUUAAAGUGGUACGCGAGCUGGGUUUAGAACGUCGUGAGACAGUUCGGUCCCUAUCUGCCGUGGGCGCUGGAGAACUGAGGGGGGCUGCUCCUAGUACGAGAGGACCGGAGUGGACGCAUCACUGGUGUUCGGGUUGUCAUGCCAAUGGCACUGCCCGGUAGCUAAAUGCGGAAGAGAUAAGUGCUGAAAGCAUCUAAGCACGAAACUUGCCCCGA